UGGGGAAUAUUGCACAAUGGGCGCAAGCCUGAUGCAGCCAUGCCGCGUGUGUGAAGAAGGCCUUCGGGUUGUAAAGCACUUUCAGCGGGGAGGAAGGCGGUGAGGUUAAUAACCUCAUCGAUUGACGUUACCCGCAGAAGAAGCACCGGCUAACUCCGUGCCAGCAGCCGCGGUAAUACGGAGGGUGCAAGCGUUAAUCGGAAUUACUGGGCGUAAAGCGCACGCAGGCGGUCUGUCAAGUCGGAUGUGAAAUCCCCGGGCUCAACCUGGGAACUGCAUUCGAAAAUGGCAGGCUAGAGGCUUGUAGAGGGGGGUAGAAUUCCAGGUGUAGCGGUGAAAUGCGUAGAGAUCUGGAGGAAUACCGGUGGCGAAGGCGGCCCCCUGGACAAAGACUGACGCUCAGGUGCGAAAGCGUGGGGAGCAAAAAGG
rnacentral:rRNA from 1 species